rnacentral:lncRNA from 1 species
CCCGCAACUGUUUUUUGAAAUAGGAAAACCCCAGGUUAUGUAAGUAGGAAACUGCUAAUGGUGUGAAAACUUUUCCGGACCAUUAAAACAAAAUCCUGCCACUUGCCUAUGCAGAUGUUGAGGUCCAGAGAAGUUCAAUGUCUUGCAAAGACUGACACAGAUAACUGGUGACACAGCUGGGAUUGUUGCCCAGUUUUCUGGAUCUUACAGCAAUUUCUACUGCUUUCCCUGAACAUUCUUCCUGUUCCACAAUCUCUCCUUUUGAGUAGGUGGAAAUGUGUUUACAAUGAAAGCUUGGCUCUGGAACAUGAUAAUCCUCAUCAGGACCAGUCCUGAUCCAAUACGGUCCAUCUCAUUGAGCACCCAGUUAAACAAGAGAACUGUGGAAAGAGUUGUCAAUUUCAUGCCAUCAUCCAGCAUCUGGACUGCUCCCGCAGCAUGUGGAGGUUCUCAGGCUAGGGGUCUAAUCGGAGCUGUAGCCGCCAACUUACACCACAGCCACAGCAACACCAGAUCCAAGCCACGUCUGCGACCUACACCACAGCUCACAGCAACACUGGAUCCUUAAUCCACUGAUGGAGGCCAGGGAUGGAACCUGCAACCCCAUAGUUCCUAGUCAGAUUCGUUUCCACUGUGCCAUGAUGGGAACUCUGCAAACUAUUAUAUUUAGAAUGGAUGGACAAUAAGGUCCUACUGUAUAGUGCAGGGAACUAUAACUGAUCUCCUGGACAGACCAUGAUUGGAAAAAAAAGAGUGUAUAUAUAUGUACGACGGGGUCAUUUUACUGUACAGUAGAAAUUGGUACAACGCUGUAAAUCACCUAUAAUUAAAAAGUAAUAAAAUACUAAAAAAAUAGGUGAUUAAUAAGUAUCUACUGUAUAGCACACACAGGAAAAUCUACUCAAUAGUUUGUAAUAAUCUAUGUGGGAAAAAAGAAUGGAUAUAUGUAUAUGUAUAACUGAUUCACGUUGCUGUAUACCUGAAACAAAUACAACAUUGUAAGUCAACUAUACCCAAAUACAAAAUUUUUAAUGAAAAAAA